CGGCUUCCGGUCCCAUCGGCGGCUUCCGGGCCCUGGGCAGCGGGCUUCGGUGCUGCUGGGCAGGGGCGGGCUCGGCGCCGUGUCAGCGGGAAGGACCUGCACACCAGCCCCCCCCAACCUGCAGGCCUCGGCUCCUCGGUUCCAGGCCCUCAGUCGAGGGGCCUGGGGCUUCCCCAGAAGGGGGGUCCUCGGGCCUUCCUGCCGGGGACCCUGCAGCUCUUUGGUUGGGGAACCUCAGGAAUGGGGUCUCGGGCCCCUUGGCCGUGGGCUCCAGGACCCUCACAGAAGCACAGGGAGCUGAGAGAGAAAAGCAGGGCCGGAGGGCAGUUAAAGCGCUGAAAACAUUCCACUCAGGACCGUUGACAUAGGGCACAAGAGACCUCAGUCAUCCCCGAAUACCGUGUGGACUGAAAAAACAAUGCACCACCUAAAAGUUGAGAGUUACGUUUUAUUCGGUGGACAAGACUGAGGACUUAAGCCCGGGACACAGCAUCUCAGAUAACUCAGGGACUGUUCCGAAGAGGGAGAGGACGGAAAGCCAGCGUGCGGCUUUGAUAAACGUUUGCCCAAUUGGAUCGCAUUCAAGUUGCUAUCCUGUUGCUGCUUGAAUACCACCAGUGAUGGAGAGCUCACCACCUCGAGGGCAGCCACAUCUAAUGCUGGUCGGGUUGGCUGUGGGAAGGUCUCUCCAGUGUCGGGUCAGAUCUGUUCGUCGAUUGUGCUCUGCCCUCUGAAGAUGUACAGAUCACCGCCCCCUCCUGUCUGGUGUCAUCCUCCCCUUCUGCUGACCACCUCCAGUUCCUCAACCGUGUGUCCUAAGCUGGUGUCCGGGUCCUCCCAUCCUGUCCCUGGGGGUGUUCUGAUCUGCCAGUGUCCCUAAAGUCAGGCACUCAGAACCAAGCAGAAGGUUCCUUUUUCUGACCAACCGGCCAAGAGUCCCAUGACUUUCCUGCUUCUGGACACCGCACCUCCAGCCGAGGUGCGCUGCUGGCCCACCUGGUUGACAUCCAGGGAGAAGCCACAUGUGACCGGUUCUGUGCCAAUUGCUGUGGGAGGUUGGGCAGGGGACGUGGCUGCAGGAGCGGUAGGUCUAGUCCAGGCACCGAGCUGACACUGAUGCGGGCUGUGGUUUUAGGGUGAGCCCAGCUGUCACGUCUUCCCUGCCAUCCCGCCCCAUACCCAUCUGGGCCCUGACGAUUGGACCAGGGCCGGUCACCUGACUUAAGCUAGACCAAUCGCAUCAGCAGUUGGGGUAGCAGGUCAGUCCCAGCAGGUGGCUGCGGGGCAGCUUUAUUCCCAUGGGGUCUGGGAAAUCUGAUGUCCAUUUGCAGAGAAAGAAGAGAGAUGGGGUGGGGGAAGCCAUGCGGAGAGAGGAGUAAAACGUGAAGCAAAUGCAGAGAGGUGGGGGUGGGCGCACACCCCCAGAGCCCCCCUGUGACACCCGCCCUCCCAGCCACGUAGACCCACAAGGUCCCACAGGGAGGGAGAGGGGGGUGCUGGGGGUCUGGCCCUGAGCCCUUCCUGGUGCCAGGAUUCUCCAACGUCCUUGGGACCCACCUCAACCUUGCGGAAAGAUCCAAGGCAACCCAAAGCCACCACCUCUCAGGGUCCCACCCUCCUUGCUGCCCAGGGUGACACAGGCCAACAGCCAAUGAGGGGCCGACAGCCCAUUGCCUGGGGCUCCUGGAGGCUGUGUCAUCUUGUAACUUUUGUAAUUUUUUCCCUCCACUCCUUGGGGAUGUUUACUGGCUACUGGACCUGUACCUGCCCAGGUGUGGAACCCGCCAGUUGGGGCCAGGGGAGCAUUGUCCAGGCUGAGGCGGCACGAUUCAAUGCUUGGCCAAGAGUGGUUAAGACCAGCGUGGGCUCGGCCUUUCCUGGGCCCUGCUCUGGCGUGAGCAAGGGGCCUGCCCUCUCUGAGCCUCCAGUCUCUCCCCUGCAGAACGGGGACAGUUGUGUCUCCCGCCUCACAGGCCUGCUGUGGCUGCGCUAGGAGCCAGUGUAGGUAGAGAGCCUGGCACAGAACCAGUCCCGUGGAAGGCAGGUCCCGAUAGGAGGAUGCCUUGCAAGAUGGUGCACUCACGUGGCUGGCAGGGGGUGCUGGCAGAGGGCCAGAGGCCUUGGUUCCCCUCCACGUGGGCCUCCCCCCGGCCCCCACUGCGCCACCCCUGUGUUCUGGCGGCAGGCUCAUCGCCUGUUAUGAUGCCAGCCUCAGACGUCAGACAGCAUCUGUUGUGAGCGGAAUUGUGCCCCCUCCAAAUUCGUGCGCCGGCGUCCUAACCCCUAGUAGCUCAGGAUGCAAUUGUGGAGAACGGGGUCUUUAAAGAGAGAGUUAAGGCAAAAUGAGGUCAUGUGUGUGGGUCC